rnacentral:rRNA from 1 species
CAGGUUUACCUGUGUGACUGCGUACCUUUUGUAUAAUGGGUCAGCGACUUAUAUUCUGUAGCAAGGUUAACCGUAUAGGGGAGCCGGAGGGAAACCGAGUCUUAACCGGGCGUUAAGUUGCAGGGUAUAGACCCGAAACCCGGUGAUCUAGCCAUGGGCAGGUUGAAGGUUGGGUAACACUAACUGGAGGACCGAACCGACUAAUGUUGAAAAAUUAGCGGAUGACCUGUGGCUGGGGGUGAAAGGCCAAUCAAACCGGGAGAUAGCUGGUUCUCCCCGAAAGCUAUUUAGGUAGCGCCUCGUGAAUUCAUCUCCGGGGGUAGAGCACUGUUUCGGCUAGGGGGCCAUCCCGGCUUACCAACCCGAUGCAAACUGCGAAUACCGGAGAAUGUUAUCACGGGAGACACACGGCGGGUGCUAACGUCCGUCGUGAAGAGGGAAACAACCCAGACCGCCAGCUAAGGUCCCAAAGUCAUGGUUAAGUGGGAAACGAUGUGGGAAGGCCCAGACAGCCAGGAUGUUGGCUUAGAAGCAGCCAUCAUUUAAAGAAAGCGUAAUAGCUCACUGGUCGAGUCGGCCUGCGCGGAAGAUGUAACGGGGCUAAACCAUGCACCGAAGCUGCGGCAGCGAACGUAUCACCCAAGACAACUUUACGGAGUUGACGAUUGACGGAGCGAAGCGACGUCAAAGCGUUCAUUAAAGUCGAGUUGGCUUAGGGAUACGUUCGUUGGGUAGGGGAGCGUUCUGUAAGCCUGUGAAGGUGUGUCGUGAGGCAUGCUGGAGGUAUCAGAAGUGCGAAUGCUGACAUAAGUAACGAUAAAGCGGGUGAAAAGCCCGCUCGCCGGAAGACCAAGGGUUCCUGUCCAACGUUAAUCGGGGCAGGGUGAGUCGACCCCUAAGGCGAGGCCGAAAGGCGUAGUCGAUGGGAAACGGGUUAAUAUUCCCGUACUUGGUGUUACUGCGAAGGGGGGACGGAGAAGGCUAUGUUGGCCGGGCGACGGUUGUCCCGGUUUAAGCGUGUAGGUGUGUGUUCCAGGUAAAUCCGGUU